rnacentral:rRNA from 1 species
GACGAACCGUGCGAACGUUGUUCGGAUUCACUGGGCUUAAAGGGCGCGUAGGCGGGCAUCCAAGUCAGGGGUGAAAUCUUUCGGCUUACCCGGAAAAGUGCCUCUGAUACUGGGUGCCUCGAGGGAGGUAGGGGCAUGUGGAACUCCGGUGGAGCGGUGAAAUGCGUAGAUAUCGGAAGGAACGCCGGUGGCGAAAGCGACGUGCUGGACCUCUUCUGACGCUGAGGCGACGGAA